rnacentral:rRNA from 1 species
CCUACGGGUGGCAGCAGUGGGGAAUAUUGCACAAUGGGCGAAAGCCUGAUGCAGCAACGCCGCGUGAGCGAUGAAGGCCUUCGGGUCGUAAAGCUCUGUUCUCAAGGAAGAUAAUGACGGUACUUGAGGAGGAAGCACCGGCUAACUACGUGCCAGCAGCCGCGGUAAAACGGAGGGGGCUAGCGUUAUCCGGAAUUACUGGGCGUAAAGGGGGCGUAGGGGGUUUGUUAAGUCAGAGGUAAAAGGCUACGGCUCAACCGUAGUAAGCAUUUGAAACUGGGGAACUUGAGUACAGGAGAGGAAGGUGGAAUUCCUGGUGUAGCGGUGAAAUGCGUAGAUAUUAGGAGGAACACUCGUUGCGAAGGCGGUUCUCUGGACUGUAACUGACACUGAGGCACGAAAGCGUGGGGAGCAAACAGGAUUAGAUACCCGUGUAGUC